UACGUGGUAGGAGAUGGCGUUCCUCCUUUAACCGCAGCGAUUUCUUAGCUGCUGAUGACGCCUACAGACAC
rnacentral:ncRNA from 2 species